UGGUGGGGUUCCCGAGCGGCCAAAGGGAGCAGACUGUAAAUCUGCCGUCACCGACUUCGGUGGUUCGAAUCCACCCCUAUCCACCA
rnacentral:tRNA from 1 species